AAGAGUGAACUAGCUAACUGAAAUCACAAGCGAUAUAAAAGUAUUAAUUGUGAUAAGGUAAGGGAAAAAAUUGAUAUUACCUUACUAUUAGUGUUGUCCAAAUCUGGUGCCAGAAGACUCGGUAAGACCAGAAACGCAAACGUUAAUCGUCCUUAUCAGGCGUAAAGGGUUUGUAGGCUGCUUUUAAUUUUUCUAUUUAAAUUAGCUCUGAUUUUUAAUCAGUUAAAUAGAAAUAUAAUAAAAGCUAGAAUCAAAUAGAGGAUAAGCCAAAUAAUACUUAGAGUAGGGAUGAUAUCCAUAGAUACUAAGGGGAAUACUAAAGGUGAAAACUUUUAUCUACUAAUGAUUGACGCUGAGAAACGAAGGUGAGAAUAGGAAAUAGGAUUAGAUACCCAGAUACCUCUCACUGUCAACGAUGAAUGGUAGUUUGUUAGUUUUAAUAAAAAUUGAUAACGAUGCUAACGCGAUAACCAUUCCGCCUUGCGAGUACGGUUGCAAAACUGAAACCAAAAAAAUUAGUCGGUCUCGAAGCAAACGAAGUGGAGCAUGUUAUUUAAUU
rnacentral:rRNA from 1 species